UUUUCUCCUUUCUCUCUUUCUUCCUCAAGAAAUAGCUUCAUCAAAAGGGAAAGAGCAGAUUCCUAUCUGUCUCAUUUUGCCCAUUUAGUCACAGACUCCCUCAGGUCUCAUUUUGUGCUGCUCCUAACCCAGCAGUAAAAGAACAUUGAAAGCAUUGAAGGAAAUAGCACACCUGGCAAAAUUGCUGCAUACAUAGGGGAGCUACUGUCCAAUUUUCUUCAAUCCUUUCCGAAUACUUUGGGUAAGUUCUUCCUUCUCACUUUCUGUCUGUCAGUAGGUUCCUUACCUAUUCCAUAUCUAAUUAUCAAAUUAGUAGACAUCAUCUUCUCUUUUCUUCUGUCUUACAUACAAAACCAACUCAAACACAAAUGAAAUGUAGAUUCCUUUCAUAAAAAUGACAAAAAUAUCAGGACAAAUCCCAAACAUUUAUUUAUGUUUAAUUACAUGUUAAAAAUGUUUAGCAUUCAUUUAAAACAUUUUUGAGUUCCAAAAUCUCCCCCUUUUCCCCUUCUCUCCUCUCUCAUUGAGAAGGCACACAAUUUGAUACAGAUUAUAUGUAUAGUCAUGCAAAACAUAUUUCCAUAUUAUUCAUGUUGUGAAAGAAAACACAGGUCAAAAAAAAAUCUCUAGAAAAAUAAAGUAAAAAAAAGUAUAAUACAAUCUUCAUUCAAACCUCACCAGUUUUUCUCUGGUGUGAGUAGCAUUUUUCAUCAUGAAUCCUUCAGAAUCAGCUCAUAUCAUUGUGUUGUUGAGAAUAGCCAAGUAAUUUAUUUGACCGUUGUACAUAAUUGCUGUUACUUUGUACUCACUUCAUUCUGCAUCAGUUCAUGUAAGUCUUUUCAGGUUUUUCUGAAAUCAUACUGCUUGUCAUUUCUCAUAGUACAAUAUCACAAUCAUAUACCACAACUUGUUCAGCCAUUCCCUGGUUGAUGGGUUUUAUUUCAUUUUCUAAUUCUUUGCCACCACAACAAGAGCUGCUAUUAAUAUUUUUGUUCAUAUAGAUUCUUUUCCUUAUUUUUAAAAAAAUCUUUUAGGGAUAUGGCCUAGUAGUGGUAUUGCUGGGUCAAAGGGUAUGCACAGUUUUAGAACCUUUUGGACAUAAUUUUCUAGUACUAUAAAAUAAUAUUUGGUAGUUUGUCAUGGCACUGAAUAAAUAAAUUAAUUUAGUUAGAAAUGUCAUUUUUAUUAUGCAGACUUGGCCUACCCAUAAACAAUAUUUUUCCAGUUGUUUAGAUCUAACUUUAUUUGUGUGAAAAAUGUUUUUCAAUUGUGUUCAUAUAGUUAUUGAGUUUGUGUUGGCCAUAGACUUCAAAGUAUUUUAUAUUAUCUAUAAUUAUUUUAAAUGGAAUUUUUCUUUCUAUCUUUUGCUGUUGGACUGUGUUAAUACUAUAUAGAAAUACAUAUGAUUUUGUGGGUUUAUUUUAUAGUCUCAAAGUAUACUAUCGUUUCAUCUUCAAAGAAUGAUAAUUUUGUUUCUUCAUUACCUAUUCUAAUUCCUUUAAUUUAUUUUCCUUCUCAUUGCUAUAGCUAGCAGUUCUAGUACAAUAUUGAAUAAUAGUGAUAAUGGGUAACUUUGCUUUACAAACUCUGAUCUUAUUGGGAAGUCUUCUAGCUUAUCUUUAUUAUAGAUAAUACAUACUGGUGGUUUUAGAUAGGUACUACUUAUCGUUUUAAGAAAAGCCCCAUUUAUUCCUAUAUUUUCUAGUGUUCUUGAUAGGAAUGGUAUUGUAUUUUUUCCAAAACUUUUUUCUUCAUCUAUUGAAAUAAUCAUAUCAUUUGUUUGUUUUGCUUAUUGAUAUGGUCAAUUACAGUGAUAGUUUUCCUAAAGUUGAACCAGCUCUGCAUUUCUAGUAUAAAUCCCACUAGAUCAUAGUGUAUGAUCUGUGUGAUAUUUUGUUGUAAUUGCCUAGCUAGUAUUUAAAUUUUUUUUGUAUCAAUAUUCAUUAGGGAAAUUGGUUUAUAGUUUUCUUUCUCUGUUUUUGCUUUUCCUGGCUUAUGUAUCAAUAUCAUUUGGAAGGACUUCAUCAUUGCCUAUUUUUCCAAAUAGUUUAGGUAGUAUUAGAAUUAAUUGUUAUUUAAAUAUUUGAUAGAAUUCACUUGUGAAUUCAUCUGGUAUUGGGAAUUUUUUUGUAAGUUCUUGAUGACUUAUUUAAUUUCUUUUUUAUUAUAAAGUUACUUAAGUUCUAUUGCCUCAUCUGUUAAUCUGGGCAAUUUAUAUUUGCUCAUCAGAUAUAUUGAUCAUCAGAUUUAUUUGAAUAUAAUUGUGCAAAACAGCUCCUAAUAAUUGCUUUAAUUUCUUUUUCAUUGGUGGUGGAUUCACCCUUUUCAUUUUGAUACUGGUAAUUUAGUUUCUUUUUAAAAUCACAUUAACCUAUGACUUAUCUGUUUUAUUACCCCCCCCAUAAAAUCAGCCCCUAGUUUUAUUUAUUAACAAACCCUGAACAUUUACAAAGAUAUUCUGUCUAGCAGUACCAUUAGAAAAAUCUCACUUGUUCAUAGCCUAGUUUGGGAAGCCAGGGAUGAUGGAGCUGAUACAGUUCAACUGAUAUAGAGUAAGCACACUAUAUGCAGUAUGGGCAGCUAGGGGGUGCAGUGGAUUGAAUGUCAAGCCUGGGAUCAGGAAGACUCUUCUUUCUGAGUUCAAAUCUGGUCUCAGAUUCUUAUUAGCUAUAUGAUCCUUGGCAAGUCAUUCAACCUGCUUACCUCAGUUCCUUAUCUUUAAAAUGAGCGGGAGGAAGAAAUGGCAAACCACCCCAGUAUCUUUGCAAGAAAAACUCUAGAUGGACUCAUGAAACAAUUGAACAACAAUAACAACAUAUGGGAUAUGCCAUGCUAGGCACUAGUAGAACUAAUUUUUUCCCUCCCUUACACUCUCAUGAUAGCUUGUAUCCCUUGUGUGCACUUUCAUAUCAUAAUUUGCAUUAAAAGUAUUCGUGUAUGUGGAUUGUCUUCCCUGUCAGGUGAUUGUUUCCAUGACGGUACUUAGUAGCAUCUUCUUGGCCUUCAUUAAGCACCUGUUAUGUGCCAGGCACUUUAUGAAUAUUAUCUCAUUUGGUCCUCACCGCAGUCUGGGGUAGGUGCUAAAUAGGAUCACAUUCAGCAAAUAUAACAGUAGUACUUUGCCUCUAUUUAAUGAAUGAAGGGUAGCCUAAAACAAUAUGACGUCAUUAAUGCUCUGCUACUGAGAUUUGUUAGGAUUUAGCAAGUUGUUUCACUAAGGACUGAGGUUAAGUUAUUCACCAUCUUUGUCCAAUUGUGUUUCCUUAUACAGUCUCCAUAACCCCAUCUAGCCCCAAAGCCAAAGGGAGCUCAUGUGCUGGCAUGCUUUUCUUCAAGAGGAGAUGGUACCCACUGGCAAAAUAGGGUGGUUCCAAUCCUAGUGUGCACUUUUACUCGUAGACUCACAGAUUCUUAGGUUGGAAGGGACUCUGGAGGUUUUCUAGUUCUUCCUAUCCAUUCUUUUUUGCCUUUUUACUCAUUGGGAAUGGGGUAGCAAGUAUUUUCCAGGUAUCAUUGGUAACCAAACCCAUACUUCCAUGAUUAAUUUUACAAAAAAGAGUCUUUGGUUUUGUUUUCUGCUUUUAUGAUAGACUGUCUUUUAUAAUAGAAUUUGGAUGGAAUUAAGUUUAGAUAGUCAGUACUCCAAUUAUUGAAGUUGCCCCAACUUAGUUAAUAAGGGAAGUGUAUUGAAAUACUAAGAACAGGCAAUGAGGUAAGGCUCCAGCAUCUUCAUGUGCCCCUGAUAUAGGUUGGGUUUGUGAGUUCAUUUCACAGUUUGAUUUGUAAAAGAGGCAAGAUAAUGUUAUGGAAAAAAUAGUGGGCCAGGAAUCAAAAGACCUCUGCCACUAAUUAGUUCUGUGUCUGAGCAAGUCACUGACUUAUCCUGGGUUUCUGAUAGGUGUUGGACUGAACAGUCUCUAAAAUCCCUUCUAGCACAGAAUACUAUGGAACUUUCCCCUUAGCUCUACUCACAGUUUUAGAAUUUUAGUACUGAGUCCCAGGUCUGGUGAUUAUUGUAUUUUGAGCUUUGAGGCAUAACAAGGAGGGGAAAAGCAAGGCUCAUUUCAAAGGCAUGUGAUAAGAAGCAAAAAUAAAAUGAAAUAAAACAAGAGUAUUGGUUCCCAGUUCCCAGAUGUGAGCCUGGACUACUACAUAAAUACUUUUAAAGUGAAAUUUAUUACAAGGAGAUCUUUUCUGAGCAUGUGACUUAUGUGAGCCAAGAGCUUCUUCAGGGUCAUGGGAAGUAGAGCAUUCCUGGUGUUCUGUGUGUUCUGCCCCCAGACUCCUUAUACUCAAAGGCAUGCCCUGGAUUUUGAUCUUGAAUUUUUCAGGUAGUAGGAUUGUUCCAAUGAGUUUAGAGAGAUGCUUAGGUGGUUUGGCUUGUUGAUAAUACUUAUGCUUUAUAGUGAUCAUCUAUGGAGAGAUCCAAGCACUCUGCAAUAGGUUCUCUGCCAUCUUAUAAAAGCUGUCUAUGGUUUAAGUAAACAUAAAGAUAACAAGUAAAACAGCUGAGGCAACAAGAGAACAAGUGGAGUUGGUGGCCUAGUGUGUUAAUAAUUGAGUAAGGGGUCUUUCUGAUUCUUUCCCUAAAAUUUGGCCCACAAAACUUUGUGGUGAGUUAAUUCUUUAAGUUUGUUCUCUUGAGGAUCAGUGGGAUGUUGCAAAGAGAGCACUGAUCUGUAAUCAGAAGCCCUAGGUUGAAGUCUUACCAUGGUAUGUGGUUUGGCCAGAGGUGAGUUGCUUAGCCUUUCUGGUUCUGAUAAUCCAGUAACAAAGUGGGACAAGAAUAUUUGCACUGGCAUCCCUUGCAGAGCUGUUGGGGAAGAAAAGGUUUGGGCCCUAAAAAUGCUCCUAAUUGUGAAGUAGUAUUGUGAUGUAAAAUUUAAGGAUUGUUAGCCUUUUAAUCAUCAUCAUCACUGACUUGAAAUCCUUUUGCCAAAACAUAUCAAUCUGGAGCAAAGCAGCAUUUAAUCCCCUCGUGCCUCUGGACAGGGAUAGAGAUGGCCCCCCCACCCCCACCCUCUGGCCCAAAGCUCCCCAAGGUGGGGUAGGCUGUGUGUUGCUGCGUAUACGACUAGUUCCAUCUUUCUUUGGCUUCAGAGUGAUGGAGAAAGUGCAUUUCACAACAUGCCAAGGUUCCUAAAUCUUCCUGACCUCACUUCACCCCCACCAACCUUUGGUAAAAGAGAUUGACAGCUGGUGCCCACUGGGCAUCUGGGGACAUUGCAGCACAGCUGCUUUUAAACUGGAGGAGCCCUCUCCUCAAACAAAGUGACGUCCCCAUCAGAUUUUGCUAAUGGGCUUAGACACAUCUGACCGCUUGAACCCGCACAGAGGAGGGACACAGCCAUUCCAAAUAAACAAUUGCAUUCCCCACCGCCUGUGCUCUCUCUGAUUGAGGUACAGGAGCCGCAACACAUGGAUUCCUUCCCUCUGUUGCCCAUGUAUGUUACCAGCUGGAGCUGAUUAUACUUCUCAGGGAAAUGUUGCAGGGAGAGGAGGAAGAAGCAUGUAUCCACAUCAUCCUCAGAAUCAUUUAAACCCCAGACUUCCUGAGAUCUAGUUAAGCCUAGAUUUCUUAGCGCCAUUUGAUCCUAGUCCUGGAAACCUCCCUUUUGUAAGAUUUGAAUUUCUGAAUUUUUGGUUUGUGAACCUGUUUAAUGAUGAAGCCCAUGGAAAGGAAGAAUUUUGGUCCGGGAUUCAGGGACCUGGCCUUCUAGUCCUGCCUCUGCUGCUUACUAGUUGGUUGUUCUUUAACUUCACAACUCUAAAAUGUGGGGCUUGGAAAUUAUUUCUAAGAUUAGAAAUGUUUAGCUCUUUUAGUUUUAAUCUUUGAAAAUUUUGUGAUCAUCUAUCAGUCAGUUACAGGACAAAAAAUUAGUUACUUCUCUUAAAGAUCUCGUAGCAGAACAAGGGAUAUAAGCUACAAGUAAUAAUACACAAACAAGGUAUAUAUGGGAUAAAUUGGGACUAGUCUCAGAGCAAAGGCAUGAAGAUGAGGGAGGACAGAGAAAGGCUUCUUGCCUUAGGUGGGAUUUUAGUUAAAUCUUGAAGGAAGUCAGGCAAGCUAGGAGGUGAAGGAGGUGAAGAUGAAGAGAAAGAAUCUCACAUAUGAAGGGCAGUCAGUGAAAAUGCUUAGAAUAAAGAGAUAACAUGUUGUAUGAGAGGAACAGCAAAGAAGUCAUUGUUAUUGGAUCUUGGACUAUUUGGAGGAUAAAUGUAAGAAGAAUAGAAAGGUAGGAGGAGACUAAGUAUGAAGGGCUUUAAAAGCCAAAUGUAGAAUUAUUUUCUAUUUGAUCCUGGAGGUCAGAGGGGGCCAUUGGAGUUUAUUACAUAGGAUAGUGAUAAACAUGGUCAGAUCUGCAUUUUAAGAAGAUCAAUUUGACAGCUUAAUUGGGGAUGGAUUGGAUUGGGGAGAAACUUGAGGCAAAGGGGCCAACCAACAGACUAUUGCAGUAAUCCAGGCAUAAGGGCAUAAGAACCUAUACUAGGGUGGUUGUUGUGUCAGAGGAAUGAAGGGAAUGUAUAAAAUGCUAUGAAGGCAGAAAGGAAAAGGCUUGACCACUGUUUGGCUAUAGAGGAUGAGAGUGAGGAAUUGAGGAUUAUUCCUACAUUGAGAACCUGGAUGUCUGGGAGGAUUAUGAUGUCUUUGAUGACCAUAAGAUAAUUAGGAAGUGGGAAGUAAGGGGCAAAGAUAAUGAGUUCCAUUUUUAGACAUGUUAAGAUGUCUAGUAGGCAUUUGAAAGUCAGGAGAGAGGUUAAGGCUGGAUAAAUAGACAUGAGAGUCAUAGAAGUGAUAAAUGAAAUUAUGGGAUGUGAUUGGAAUUCUGGCAUACUCUAUGCUAAUAUGUACACACACCUCCACCCCCCUCUUGUAGCUGAUGCCCAAUCCACUGGGUUUUACAUGUAUCAUUCAUUGAUCAAGACCUAUUUCCAUAUUAUUGAUAUUUGCACUAGGGUGAUCGUUUAGGGUCUACAUCCCCAAUCAUAUCCCCACCAACCCAUGUGAUCAAGCAGUUGUUUUUCUUCUGUUUCCCUUCACACACAAUGUGAUGAUUUGAAAUAUGGAGGGAUUCUUUUAAUGUGAAGUUUCAUUGUAGCUUUCUAUAAACAGAGCUGACUCGAAAAUUGAGGGGUUCACUCCCCUAAGCCCCAAGUUGGGGAACAAUCUAAUUGAGUCAGAAUCUUUACCUAAAGUUUCAAAUGUGCUUUUGUUUCCCCAGGAAUGAUGGUGCUGAUUACUGUCAAAUAGCAAGAAUUGAGCCUAGAUUUCUCUCUCUCUUUUUUUUUUGAGAAGCUAGCAUUUAUCCUUUAAUUUUUAUUUUUCCAUUUGGAAAUUUUUAUUUAAUUUAGAAUAUUUUUCCAUGGUUACAAGAUUCAUGUUCUUUCCCUCCUCUCCCUCCACCCCCCUUGUGUAGCUGAUGCCCAAUCCACUGGGUUUUAAAUGUGUCAUUGAUCAAGACCUAUUUCCAUAUUAUUGAUAUUUGCACUAGGGUGAUCGUUUAGGGUCUACAUCCCCAAUCAUAUCCCCAUCAACCCCUGUGAUCAAGCAGUUGUUUUUCUUCUAUGUUUCCCUUCCCACAGUUCUUCCUCUAGAUGUGGAUAGCAUUCUUUCUCGUAAGUCGCUCAGAACUGUCCUGGAUCACUGCAUUGCUGCUAGUAGAGAAAUUCAUUACAUUCAAUUGUACCACAGUGUAUCUGUCUCUGUGUACAGUGUUCUCCUGGUUCUGCUCCUUUCACUCAGCAUCAGUUCCUGGAAGUUGUUCCAGUCCCCAUGGAAUUCCUCCAGUUUAUUAUUCCUUUGAGCACAAUAGUAUUCCAUCACCAACAGAUACCACAAUUUGUUUAGCCAUUUCCCAAUUGAGUGGCAUCCCCUCAUUUUCCAAUUUUUUUGCCACCACAAAUAGCACAGCUGUAAAUAUUUUUGUACAAGUCUUUCUCCUUAUUAUUAAUUUAGGGUAUAAACCCAGCAGUGGUAUGGCUGGAUCAAGGGACAGGCAGUCUUUUAUCGGCCUUUGGGCAUACAAACCUAGAUCUCGUCUAACUUAAAAGCCCAUUGCUCCUUUCACAACACUACAUUGCAUUGUGACUCAGAGUCAGAAUUCUCCCAGCUUGAAGUUCUUGGGAAGAAUGUGAGACAAGCCAGUCAGCAUUAUUAAUUAUACAUAGUAUUCUACUUAAUUGAAUGAACUUCAGAAGAUCACUAGUGUUUAUUAGUUAGAGACACCUUUCCAAACUGAAGAAAGAACUUUUAAAAAUUAAGCAAAAUUAUUUAUUUCCUAAUGGGAAUUUUAUUGUUUAAAGAAUGUGAAAGUGUUGUUACAGAAAGAGUGAUAAAUGUUUUGCUCUAGUUUUUUCAAAGGAGAUAGUGACAGUAUGAAGAAUUAACCCCAGGAGCAAAGGAUAGUACUCCCAAAGAAGCUACUUCUUUCCAUGGCCUCCACUUUAGAAAGGAUAAUUUAUCCUUUUGCUUUAGCACAAACUGACUUGCCUGCUUCAGCAGACAUCUUUUGCCAGCCUCUUACCCACUAUUCCUGCCAAAGAGGAGAGAAUGGUCCUGGUGAUGGCAGUACAACAGACUUAUGUUCUGAAUGUUGAAGAAGGACGAGAUUGGAGUCCAAAAGCAAGAUCGUUAUUCCUUAUAACAAAGAAUAACUCAAUCAAAAAUGAAAGAAAGGAAGGAAAAGCAGUUCAGCAAAAUUAACCAGCAUAUCAACUGAUUGUAGAUGCAGUGUUCUACACCCAUUAUUUUGUCUCUUCAGAAGAUGGAGGGAGAUUCGUUUUCUCAUCUCUUGCUCUCCCCGUCAAGCUUGGUCAUUAUAAUUACAUAUUGUUAAACUUUUAAAUUAUUGUUUAAAGUUAUAUUGUUGUAGUCAUUGUGUAUAUUGCUUUCUUGAUUUUGCUCACUUCAGCCCACAUUAAUUCAUAUAUAUCUUCCACUAUUUCUUUGAAUUGUUCAUUUUUGUUGUCUCUUAAUACACUUAAAGAAUUCUUCAGUAAUAUUACAUCAUAUCUAUGUACUAUAUAUCUAUCUAUAUCUAGAUAGCUAUCUGUGGAUAAAAAUAUCUAGAGAUCUAUAUAUUUAGAUAACUAUGAAGAACUCUAUAGAUAAAAAUAUAUAAUUGUAUAGAUAAGAUGUAACUAGUAAAUAUUUAUUAAAUGACUAACAUAUAAGGCCUGUUUGAAGUUCCAAGAGGGACGCAAAAAAAUAUUUAAGACAUAGCUUAAGAUCUCAUGGAGUUUAUAGUCAAGGGAGGUGUAGGAAGAAGACCAUGUUGGAUACAUGUGAAAAAUUAAUAUUGACAAGCAAUAAAUUAUAGGUGAUAUCUGGGCAGUUAAGUUCUAUAGGCAUCCAGAGAAGGGCCUGGGAAAGGAAGAAAAUCCUAGUAAAGCAAUGAGUGAAAAGGAAGGCUUGAUAUCCAAGUGGUAGAGUAAAAA